CGCACGGGUGAGUAACGCGUAUCCAACCUGCCGUCUACUCUUGGACAGCCUUCUGAAAGGAAGAUUAAUACAAGAUGGCAUCAUGAGUCCGCAUGUUCACAUGAUUAAAGGUAUUCCGGUAGACGAUGGGGAUGCGUUCCAUUAGAUAGUAGGCGGGGUAACGGCCCACCUAGUCUUCGAUGGAUAGGGGUUCUGAGAGGAAGGUCCCCCACAUUGGAACUGAGCCACGGUCCAA
rnacentral:rRNA from 1 species